rnacentral:rRNA from 1 species
UACGUAGGGUGCAAGCGUUGUCCGGAAUUAUUGGGCGUAAAGAGCUCGUAGGCGGUUUGUUGCGUCGGCUGUGAAAUCCCGAGGCUCAACCUCGGGUCUGCAGUCGAUACGAGCAAACUAGAGUGUUGCAGGGGAGACUGGAAUUCCUGGUGUAGCGGUGAAAUGCGUAGAUAUCGGAAGGAGCAUCAGUGGCGAAAGCGACUUCCUGGACCAAUACUGACGCUCAUGUGCGAAAGCGUGGGGAGCAAACAGG